GAAGAACCUUACCAAGGCUUGACACACUGGCUCAAGCUAAUGUGAAAGCAUUUUGUGUUGUAAGGCUUGCCUUACAUAGUCAGUACAGGUGCUGCAUGGCUGUCGUCAGCUCGUGCCGUGAGGUGUCCGGUUAAGUCCGGUAACGAGCGCAACCCCUAUGUUUAGUUGCCAGCACGUAAGGUGGGAACUCUAAAGAGACUGCCGGCGACAAGCCGGAGGAAGGCGGGGACGACGUCAAGUCAUCAUGGCCCUUAUGCCUUGGGCUACACACAUGCUACAAUGGCGGAUACAAUGGGUUGCCAAACCGUGAGGUGGAGCCAAUCCCAUCAAAGUCCGUCUCAGUUCGGAUUGCAGGCUGCAACUCGCCUGCAUGAAGUUGGAAUCGCUAGUAAUCGUGGAUCAGCACUGCCACGGUGAAUACGUUCCCGGGCCUUGCACACACCGCCCGUCACACCACGAAAGUCGGUUCUGCCCGAAGUGGUUGAGCUAACCCGCAAGG
rnacentral:rRNA from 1 species